UACGUAGGGUGCAAGCGUUUAAUCGGAAUUACUGGGGCGUAAAGCGUGCGCAGGCGGCUAUGCAAGACAGAUGUGAAAUCCCCGGGCUUAACCUGGGAACUGCAUUUUGUGACUGCAUGGCUAGAGUACGGUAGAGGGGGGAUGGAAUUCCGCGUGUAGCAGUGAAAUGCGUAGAGAUCGGGCGGGAACACCAGCGGCGAAGGCGGCAUCCUGGCCCUGACCUGACGCUGAGGCGCGAGAGCGUGGGGAGCAAACUGG
rnacentral:rRNA from 1 species